UACGUAGGCAGCGAGCGUUGUUCGGAAUUACUGGGCGUAAAGCGUGCGUAGACGGCUAUCUAAGUCGGGUGUGAAAGCCCCGGGCUCAACCUGGGAAUUGCAUUCGAGACUGAAUAGCUAGGGUACGGUAGAGGGAAGUGGAAUUUCCGGUGUAGCGGUGAAAUGCGUAGAUAUCGGAAGGAACAUCAGUGGCGAAAGCGACUUCCUGGACCAGUACCGACGUUCAGCACGAAAGCGUGGGGAGCAAAGCAGGAAUUGAGACUACCCCGAGUAAGCUCCGAGACCAAGUCCUCU
rnacentral:rRNA from 1 species